CUACGGGUUGCAGCAGUCGAGAAUCUUCCGCAAUGGGCGCAAGCCUGACGGAGCAAUGCCGCGUGAGGGAUGACGGCCCUAGGGUUGUAAACCUCUGUCAGAAGGGACGAAGAACGUGACGGUACCUUCAGAGGAAGCCAUGGCUAACUACGUGCCAGCAGCCGCGGUAAUACGUAGAUGGCGAGCGUUAUUCGGAUUUACUGGGCGUAAAGGGUCCGUAGGGGGUCUGCAAAGUCUGAUGGGAAAUCCUGCGGCUCAACCGCGGAACUGCAUUGGAAACUGGCGGACUAGAGUGUGCGAGGGGUGAGCGGAAUUCCUGGUGUAGCGGUGGAAUGCGUAGAUAUCAGGAAGAACACCGAUGGCGAAGGCGGCUCACUGGCGCAUCACUGACCCUGAGGGACGAAAGCGUGGGUAGCAAACAGGAUUAGAUACCCUCGUAGUC
rnacentral:rRNA from 1 species